rnacentral:sRNA from 1 species
UUUUAUUCAGUCCGGUUGUGUCUCCGGUGCUCUAAAGUUAUCCGCAGUUCCCAGGAUUGCUUCUUUGCUCUAGCUAUAGCUUGCUUAUAUUCACAUAUUAGAACAUGUUUCUAACCAAAUUCUUACGACUAAACACAUCAACAAAAUGCAGUAAUUCAAUUUAUAGUUAUCAAGCGUGACUAAAUAUUUUAAAAGAUGCCGGAGCAAAAAAAAAAA